rnacentral:rRNA from 1 species
CACGCUUUUGAAAGAUGGUUUCGGCUAUCGCUUACAGAUGGGCCCGCGGUGCAUUAGCUAGUUGGUAGGGUAAUGGCCUACCAAGGCAACGAUGCAUAGCCGACCUGAGAGGGUGAUCGGCCACACUGGGACUGAGACACGGCCCAGACUCCUACGGGAGGCAGCAGUAGGGAAUCUUCCGCAAUGGACGAAAGUCUGACGGAGCAACGCCGCGUGUAUGAAGAAGGUUUUCGGAUCGUAAAGUACUGUUGUUAGAGAAGAACAAGGAUAAGAGUAACUGCUUGUCCCUUGACGGUAUCUAACCAGAAAGCCACGGCUAACUACGUGCCAGCAGCCGCGGUAAUACGUAGGUGGCAAGCGUUGUCCGGAUUUAUUGGGCGUAAAGCGCGCGCAGGCGGU